GACGAACGCUGGCGGCGUGCUUAACACAUGCAAGUCGAACGGAAAGGCCCUGCUUUUGUGGGGUGCUCGAGUGGCGAACGGGUGAGUAACACGUGAGUAACCUGCCCUUGACUUUGGGAUAACUUCAGGAAACUGGGGCUAAUACCGGAUAGGAGCUCCUGCUGCAUGGUGGGGGUUGGAAAGUUUCGGCGGUUGGGGAUGGACUCGCGGCUUAUCAGCUUGUUGGUGGGGUAGUGGCUUACCAAGGCUUUGACGGGUAGCCGGCCUGAGAGGGUGACCGGCCACAUUGGUACUGCGGUACGGCCCAGACGCCUACGGGAGGCAGUAGUGGGGAAUAUGGCACAAUGGGCGGAAGCCUGAUGCAGAAACGCUGCGUGCGGGAUGACGUCCUUCGGGUUAAAAACCGCUUUCGCCUGUGACGCAGCGUGAGUGACGGUAAUGGGUAAAGAAGCACCGGCUAACUACGUG
rnacentral:rRNA from 1 species